UUAAAUUGAAGAGUUUGAUCAUGGCUCAGAUUGAACGCUGGCGGCAGGCCUAACACAUGCAAGUCGAACGGUAGCACAGAGAGCUUGCUCUCGGGUGACGAGUGGCGGACGGGUGA
rnacentral:rRNA from 1 species